GGUGAUGCAGCUCAGUGGGAGAGCACUUGCCCGGCAUGCACGAGGCCCUGGGUUAGAGUCCCAGCACCUCAG
rnacentral:tRNA from 1 species